CUUGGUCAUUUAGAGGAAGUAAAAGUCGUAACAAGGUCUCCGUUGGUGAACCAGCGGAGGGAUCAUUACCGAGUUUACAACUCCCAAACCCAUGUGAACCUUACCUAUCGUUGCUUCGGCGGGAUCGCCCCGGGCGCCUCGGUGCCCCGGAAUCUGCGCCCGCCGAGGGACCCAAACUCUUGUUUUUUAUGGUAUUCUCUGAUUUAAUUUUAUUAAAUAAAUAAAAACUUUCAACAACGGAUCUCUUGGUUCUGGCAUCGAUGAAGAACGCAGCGAAAUGCGAAAAGUAAUGUGAAUUGCAGAAUUCAGUGAAUCAUCGAAUCUUUGAACGCACAUUGCGCCCGCCAGUAUUCUGGCGGGCAUGCCUGUCUGAGCGUCAUUUCAACCCUCACACUCCUAGGGUGUGGUGUUGGGGAUCGGCCAAAGCCCGCAAGGGACGGCCGGCCCCUAAAUCUAGUGGCGGACCCGUUGUGGCCUCCUCUGCGAAGUAGUUAAUAUUCCGCAUUAGAGAAGCAGCGAGCCCCUGCCGUAAAACCCCCAACUUUCUAAGGUUGACCUCAGAUCAGGUAGGAAUACCCGCUGAACUUAAGCAUAUCAAUAAGCGGAGGA
rnacentral:rRNA from 1 species